rnacentral:misc_RNA from 1 species
GGAAGGAUCAUUCACAAAAAUAAUCCACACCAUGUGAACUAGUCAGUACUAAAUGGCGCUCUCGUAGCUGACCGAUCUGUACUGAUUAUUCCGGUGCUUCCGUCUGUCAUAGCUAGCUUGCUAGCGAAGAGCACUGGGCGUGUUUCGGCACGUUCGGCAGACAACAAGUGGUGGUUUUAUACUAAGAUUUAUUCAAAGCUUUAUUAACUAUCAGCGAUGGAUGUCUUGGCUCCCACAACGAUGAAGGACGCAGCAAAAUGUGAUAAUCAUUGUGAAUUGCAGAAUUCAGUUAAUCAAUAGAACGCUCAACGCAUACGGCACUGUAUUUUACAGUAGGUCUGCUUCAGAGUCAUUUGCAAUCUCUCCAGACAAUACUUCGGUAUUGCUACUGCAGAGUUGAGGUGCUGCUUGACUAACGUCCGGCAGUCGCAGAGUUCUAUGACAGUUCGUUUCAAACAUAUCUGAUGAUGUUGUUAGUUUCGAGCAAUACGUCAUAGCGUACUAACUUACAUGACCUGAAAUCAGUCCAGGCUACCCGCUGAAUUUAAGCAUAUUAUUAAGCGGAGGAAAAGAAAAUAACUAUGAUUCCCCUAGUAGAGGCGAUUGAACAGGGAAAAGCACAAAGUGUAAAUCUGGUCUUCGGACCCGAAUUGUAGUCUUUAGACGCGUUACCAGGGUAUCUGCAGGGAUAAUUCCUCUUGAACGAGGAACCAUAGAGGGUGAAAGUCCCGUCCUUGCUCUGCAAUGAUGCCUAUACGGUGCGUGCUCAGAGAGUCGCGUUCUUUGGGAAUAGAGCGCUAAGUGGGUGGUAAAUUUCAUCUAAUGCUAAAUAUUGGUGGGAGACCGAUAGCGAACAAGUACCGUGAGGGAAAGAUGAAAAGAACUUUGAAAAGAGGGUUAAAAGUACCUGAAAUUGCUGGUAGGGAAGCGAAUUGUAUUGUCCUGGUUAAGAGAUAUGCUACAUGAGAAAGUUGAGCCUUGAAGUUCACCGCAAGGGAAUCUUUGGGAGGUAGACUCAUUGUGUGGCUAUCAAUCUCUUAGCUUCAGUCUGCGUCGGUUGUGACUGUGUAAAAACCCUCUCUUGAGCUGCCUCGGUAGUUUAAGGGAGACGGACGACAUGGAUGCUGCCGAAGUUACGAAUGUAGCGUGCAGACAAAUCGAUGCAAUCCGACCCGUCUUGAAACACGGACCAAGGAGUCUAACUUUUGUGCGAGUGUGCUGGUAGAACACCAGUGCGCGUAAUGAAAGUGAUAGCAGGGAUUUUUGCACCUGCGACCGACCAUGUGGUGGUUUACUACCCGCGGUUUGAGUAAGAGCAUAAAGGUUAGGACCCGAAAGAUGGUGAACUAUGCCUGAAUAGGGUGAAGCCAGGGGAAACUCUGGUGGAGGCUCGUAGCGAUACUGACGUGCAAAUCGUUCGUCAAAUUUGGGUAUAGGGGCGAAAGACUAAUCGAACCAUCUAGUAGCUGGUUCCCUC